AAAAAGAACUAUUAAACUAAAGAAAAACAAGCUAAAAGAAAGAAAGCAAUAAAAAUUGGGUUACCUCCCAAAAAGUGCUAAAAUUAACGUCUAUAGCUUGACGGUACCUCAAACUCAUGGGUCAUUGAAUUUGACAACUUCAAGACCACGAUCCACGUUCGACUUGAAGUACGGUUUGAGACGAUGACCAUUGACAGUGAAAGUAGUGCCAUCAGCAGCGAACAACUCAUACGUCCCAUUCCAAUUGCUCUUAUGCACCACAUAUGGCCC
rnacentral:lncRNA from 1 species